rnacentral:rRNA from 1 species
GACGAACGCUGGCGGCGUGCUUAACACAUGCAAGUCGAACGGAAAGGCCCUGCUUUUGUGGUGUGCUCGAGUGCCGAACGGGUGAGUAACACGUGAGUAACCUGCCCUUGACUUUGGGAUAACUUCAGGAAACUGGGGCUAAUACCGGAUAGGAUCUCCUGCUGCAUGGUGGGGGUUGGAAAGUUUCGGCGGUUGGGGAUGGACUCGCGGCUUAUCAGCUUGUUGGUGGGGUAGUGGCUUACCAAGGCUUUGACGGGUAGCCGGCCUGAGAGGGUGACCGGCCACAUUGGGACUGAGAUACGGCCCAGACUCCUACGGGAGGCAGCAGUGGGGAAUAUUGCACAAUGGGCGGGAGCCUGAUGCAGCAACGCCGCGUGCGGGAUGACGGCCUUCGGGUUGUAAACCGCUUUCGCCUGUGACGAAGCGUGAGUGACGGUAAUGGGUAAAGAAGCACCGGCUAACUACGUG